GGCUGUGUGGCCUAGUGGUAUGAUUCUCGCUUUGGGUGCGAGAGGUCCCGAGUUCGAUUCUCGGCUUAGCCC
rnacentral:tRNA from 1 species